UCCCUGGUGGUCCAGUGGUUAGGAUUCUGAGUUCUCACUGCUGAGGUCCCAGCUUCAAUCCCUGGCCUGGGAA
rnacentral:tRNA from 1 species